rnacentral:rRNA from 1 species
UGGUGGCAAUCGCGAAGAGGUCACACCCGUUCCCAUCCCGAACACGGCAGUUAAGCUCUUCAGCGCCGAUGAUAAUAAGGGGCUUCCCCUUGUGAGAGUAGGACGUUGCCA